GCGCAAAUGAUGGAAAAAUCACUUUUGCGGGGGGGGAGUGACAUGAACAAAGGAACCACUGAUAUGC